GAGGGUGUAGCUCAGUGGUAGAGCACUUGCUUUCCAUAUGUGAAGUUCUGGAUUCAAUCCAGUGCCCCUCA
rnacentral:tRNA from 1 species